UGGACAUUUAUUCUUACUCCGUUUCUUCUUCAGGUGAAGAUAACUCUUUAUAAAGGUCCUAGAAAAAUAUAUUAGCUUUCUGUUCACCCUUGGCAGAGUAAAAAGGGUGGGAUCAUUCCACUACUGACNNNN
rnacentral:snoRNA from 1 species